UAGGGAAUCUUCCGCAAUGGACGCAAGUCUUUGAACGGAGCAACCNCGCGUGAGUGAAGAAGGUUUUCGGAUCGUAAAACUCUGUUGUUAGAGAAGAACAAGUGCUAGAGUAACUGUUAGCGCCUUGACGGUAUCUAACCAGAAAGCCACGGCUAACUACGUGCCAGCAGCCGCGGUAAUACGUAGGUGGCAAGCGUUGUCCGGAUUUAUUGGGCGUAAAGCGAGCGCAGGCGGUUCCUUAAGUCUGAUGUGAAAGCCCCCGGCUCAACCGGGGAGGGUCAUUGGAAACUGGGGAACUUGAGUGCAGAAGAGGAGAGUGGAAUUCCAUGUGUAGCGGUGAAAUGCGUAGAUAUAUGGAGGAACACCAGUGGCGAAGGCGACUCUCUGGUCUGUAACUGACGCUGAGGCUCGAAAGCGUGGGUAGCAAACAGGAUUAGAUACCCUGGUAGUCCACGCCGUAAACGAUGAGUGCUAAGUGUUGGAGGGUUUCCGCCCUUCAGUGCUGCAGUUAACGCAUUAAGCACUCCGCCUGGGGAGUACGACCGCAAGUUG
rnacentral:rRNA from 1 species